rnacentral:rRNA from 1 species
CCUACGGGAGGCAGCAGUGGGGAAUAUUGCGCAAUGGGCGAAAGCCUGACGCAGCGACGCCGCGUGAGGGAUGAAGGUCUUCGGAGCGGAAAACUCUGUCAGCAGGGAAGAACGGUCACUGUGCUAAUCAGCAGUGAAUUGACGGUACCUGCAAAGGAAGCACCGGCUAACUCCGUGCCAGCAGCCGCGGUAAUACGGAGGGGGCGAGCGUUAAUCGGAAUUACUGGGCGUAAAGCGCGCGUAGGCGGUAUGUCAAGUCAAGGGUGAAAUCCCCGCGCUCAACGUGGGAACUGCCUUUGAAACUGGCAAACUUGAGUGUGUGAGAGGAUAGUGGAAUUCCAGGUGUAGGAGUGAAAUCCGUAGAUAUCUGGAGGAACAUCAGUGGCGAAGGCGACUAUCUGGCACAUAACUGACGCUGAGGAGCGAAAGCGUGGGUAGCAAACAGGAUUAGAUACCCCAGUAGUC